AUUGGUCAAUGGGCGAGAGCCUGAACCAGCCAAGUCGCGUGAAGGAUGAAGGAUCUACGGUUNGUAAACUUCUUUUAUAUGGGAANNCCNNNANGAACGUGUUCCUUUUUGUAUGUACCAUAUGAAUAAGNNNCNGNUAACUCCGUGCCAGCAGCCGCGGUAAUACGGAGGAUGCGAGCGUUAUCCGGAUUUAUUGGGUUUAAAGGGUGCGUAGGUGGUUAAUUAAGUCAGCGGUGAAAGUUUGUGGCUCAACCAUAAAAUUGCCGUUGAAACUGGUUGACUUGAGUAUAUUUGAGGUAGGCGGAAUGCGUGGUGUAGCGGUGAAAUGCAUAGAUAUCACGCAGAACUCCGAUUGCGAAGGCAGCUUACUAAACUAUAACUGACACUGAAGCACGAAAGCGUGGGGAUCAAACAGG
rnacentral:rRNA from 1 species